rnacentral:rRNA from 1 species
AAUCAACGCUGGCGGCGUGCCUAACACAUGCAAGUCGAACGAGAAAGGGGAGCAAUACCUGAGUAAAGUGGCGCACGGGUGAGUAACACGUGACUAACCUACCCUGGAGUGGGGGAUAACUGAGGGAAACCUUAGCUAAUACCGCAUAAUACCUACGGGUCAAAGGAGCAAUUCGCUUUGGGAGGGGGUCGCGGCCGAUUAGUUAGUUGGCGGGGUAAUGGCCCACCAAGACAGUGAUCGGUAUCCGGCCUGAGAGGGCGCACGGACACACUGGAACUGAAACACGGUCCAGACUCCUACGGGAGGCAGCAGUGGGGAAUUUUGCGCAAUGGGGGAAACCCUGACGCAGCAACGCCGCGUGGAGGAUGAAGUACUUCGGUACGUAAACUCCUUUCGAUCGGGACGAUAAUGACGGUACCGGAAGAAGAAGCCCCGGCUAACUUCGUGCCAGCAGCCGCGGUAAUACGAGGGGGGCAAGCGUUGUUCGGAAUUAUUGGGCGUAAAGGGUGCGUAGGCGGUUUGGUAAGUCUUUUGUGAAAUCUAUGGGCUCAACUCAUAGACUGCAAGGGAAACUGCCG